rnacentral:lncRNA from 1 species
UGUGGUGUAUAUUCACUUGAGCUCCCUAUCUACUAAUAAUCUGAUAAAAAAAAUAUAAUGAUAAUUAAAUAAUUUGAAUAUAAAUAUUAUUGUUGAUUAGUAUCAUUAGUUGUACAUUUUUUUCUUUAACUCAUGCUGCCAUCACUGUCUUUUUCCCAGAGCUAGAACUAGGCUCGGGUCUGUCCAAAGCCCAUUGGGCUGAGCCAACUUCAAAUCAAGUUUUGGGCUCAAUCCAAAAUAGUUUAGGUUGGAUUUAGGCUAAAUAUAGGAUCCGUUUGUCUUUUGGGUUGGAUUUGGACAUAUCUUCGGCCCGACUCGGGCUUGAGCCC